rnacentral:lncRNA from 1 species
GGACACAAUGAACAAAGGAGAUAACUUAUAUAUUGCACAUUAAUAUGAUUUGUGUUACAGCUCAGAUAAGCCUCCUCCAAACAAACAUCAAAUUAAACAACCAAACACAAAAGCCAUGAGAGUAGAGUAACAUCCCACACUGUUAAUUACAUGGCUAUAGUCUUAUUCAAAUUAUUAUACAAAGCUUUUAUAACACAAUAUUGCAUAGUUCAUACAACACUUAAUAAAUACAGAAACACAAUUUAUUUUUUCAUGUCCAUAGUGGAAACCCUAUAGAGUAGAAUUUCAACAGUUGCAAGGGUCACAGUUGCAGCUUGAUCCACACUUGCAUGCAUGCCCUCCUUCUGUUGCUUUCUCAACUGAUCCCUCAGCCGUUGCUUUGCUGCAAAUAUAGUCACACAGAAUCAUUAAUUGACCAUCAAUAAAUCUAUUGACUAUUGGCAAACUACCCAUCUGUCUAACCCAAAAUAACAAAAGGAUAUAUAAGUUAUAUACACAGACAGACUGAUGAUAGUCUAAAGAUCUGUUAAGUUGUAUGCGUAACACAAAUUAACUCAUGAAUUAUCAUAGCGGCUAUCUUGCGAUUUUUACUAACUUUCCAUUUACGACUAUAUUUGUAACCGAUGUGGCCUCAAUACCCCCCAUAUCUCGGACCCGACAUGUGAAGCGUGGACGAGAUAAGAUGGGGGGCCAAUAUUAGAUGAAAUAAUGAAUUGGACUAGACCUAAUUCUGAUAUAAUCUAAAGAAAAAAUUGAUUUUAUGCCUAACGUUAUAAAUCACCUACUCGUGUUAGUAUUUUUUAGACCAUAAAUACAUAAACUUAAACUCGUAACAAAAUAAAGGGGCAGGGAGGAAGGAACGGGCCUGGGGGAGGUAAAAUAUUACUUACUUGUUCAUAUGUAAAUUUGUUUUCAAAAUUUAAAGACUUUAUAUCUAUAUUACAUUUAAGAUCAAAACUUAAAAUUUGAUUUUCAAAAUUCGAAUGAUGACAAAUAAAUUAGGAAAACUAUGAAUAUUAUAUACUUGUUUACAGAUGCAACUCCCUCGAUGAUGGUAAAGGUAGUUAACUUCUCCAAAUCAGGGUACAUGCUGCACCUGCAACAAAUUGAGAUCAUAUAAUUAUCAUAAAUAAUAUUUAUUACUCUCAGAUUUGAACUAUAUAUGUGUAUAUUACUAUAUAUUUGGUGCAUAUUUGUAUGUACCAAUAUCAAACUUAUUUGUACAUCAUAAAUUUGGUCGAAAUUGAAGAGAGAAUAUCUGAAGCUGAAGCUAAAAAUGAGUAUUUGAGAGUUCAGGAUGUGUCUGGACAUGAGCUUCAUUCAGAAAAUAAAAGUUAAAAUUUCUACAUGAAUACCAUUGUUCCAAUUGAAAUACUCCUCAUCAAAUAAGUUUUGAAUAUUUCACCAAUAUUUAAGAUACUACAACUUUAUUAGUAUAUUUACAAUUAUUACUGAUAGCAAACUAUAUAUUUGAAAAUCUAGAACUUAGAAUAGGUUUGUAAAAUAUUAUUUAUGGCUUACCCUCCACAAUUGCCGCAACUGCAGCUAGAACCACAACCACAGUUUCCUCCACAGCCAGACAUUCUCUUUUCGAAUUUGAAGGACUUAAUAGUAUUUCAGAAAGAAAUUGAGAAAGUAGUAAUUGUUGUUUUGGUAAAAGAUGAAGGGCUUUUUAUAGGAGGGAAGAGGGAAUUGGUCAUUGUAUGAUUGACACGUGGACCAAUAGUAUGGUUUAGUGAAUAACGUCUUAAAAUGUAGAAUGUUUUUUUUUUUUUUUUUUUAAAAGAUAAGAAGGCAUUACACUUGCUUCUAUAAAAAUUGACUAAGCAUGUUAGACUUUUUACAUUAGAAAUAGAAUAAUAUCAAAACCUUUGGGAAAAAAUUAAUUCUUAUUUCGUUCAAUUUAUAUAAUAAUGUGGGGGUAUGCCAAUGUGAAGUUUAAGAUUUUAAGUUAAUAAUAUCCAAUGUCAAAUUCAUACUAAGAAAUAUAUCGCUUAACGUAUGUAAAUCCUUGCAACUUAAAAAGUCAUAUUAGUAAGGUAAAAUGGUUUGAUGGGCUCCUGUACUAUGUCGGUUUUGUAAGUUGGACACUUCUACUUACAUAUUUGUCAUCUGAAUCCCUAAAUCCACUAAAAAUAAUAUUUUAAAUACUUUAUCAGUGAGUGUAACACACUCGCCUCACGUCAAUUGCCACAUUUUCCACGUCAUUUUUAUAAAUAAAAAAUAUUAAAUAUUAAAAUAAAUAAAUAAAUAAACAACCCCCACCAUCUCUGUUCCCCUUUUUGUUUCUUUCUGCCUUUCUUCUUCUUCUUCUUCUUCUUCUUUUUCUUAUUCUUCUUCCUCCUCUUCUCAUUCUUCUUUUCCUUUAUCAUCUUCUUCUUAUUAUUAUUCUUGCUCAACAAAAAAAUUAAAAAGUGAGGGCCAAUAAUUUAAGAAGUAUGGAAAGAAGGAAUUUUUAGAGAUUUUUGUGAUUUAGGUGAUUUAAGAAACUUGAAAUUCAAUGCAAAGAUUCAAUUUUUAAGCUUUCUUUGAAUCUUUUGUGAUUUGGGUAAUUUGAGAAACUUGAAAUUUAAUGUAAACAUUCAAUUUUUGUGCUUUCUUUAAAAUUUUUGUGAAUCGGGUAGUUGAAAAUUCUUGAGUUGAGUGAAUUUUGUAAAGGCUGAAAUUCUUGAAAUUCCUGAUUUGGAUAGUUAGAAAUUCCUUGAAAUUCUUGAAUUUUCUUUGUUGCUGGAAAUUGAUAGGGCAAUGGGGAAUGAGGAGGNNNNNNNNNNNNNNNNNNNNNNNNNNNNNNNNNNNNNNNNNNNNNNNNNNNNNNNNNNNNNAAAAAAAACCCUCUUUUUAUUUUUAUUAAUUUUAAUAUUAUUUUUAUUUUCUUAAAAAAAUUAUUUUAAUAUAAAAUUGAUCAAAAAUUGACCCCACUCGCACCUUAGGCGUGUAGGGGCCUCGUCCUAGUCAACGCUUUGAAUGCCACAUAAGUCUGGUCAACGAUCAAAGGGUUUGAAAUAUUAUUUUUUAGUGGGUUCAAACAUUCAAAUAAUAAAUAUAUAAAUAGAAGUAUUUAAUUUACAAAAUUAACAUAGUAAAAAAAUUCAUCGAACCAUUUUACCUAUGAGUAAUAAUAAUAGUAUCUAAACAUGUUGAGAUGUCCCAAAGUUAAUGGAAAUGUUAUAUAAAUUAAAAAAAUGUGUGACACUAAUCUACUAGGAAAAGUAAUGUGACGUUCAAGAUGAAGACAAAGUCAAUCAAUCUAUACUUCAAUAUAUUAGAAGAGCUGAUAUGCCAACUUAAGGCACUCUUUGAUCAUGAAAAUUACUUUUUUUUUCAGAGUUAAAAUUGAAGUUAAAGAUAAAAUUAGAGUUGGAAUUGUGUUUGAUAUGAAUAUAAAUUAAAAUUAUUUUUGAAAUUUUGUAAGAGAAUUGUUUACACUUUUUUAAAUAAUUUUUUAAAAUUGAAGUUAAAAAAUUCAUGGCCAAACACAAUGUAUUUACACAAAAAUGAAAUCAUUUUUCAGAUGAGAGAAAAAAAAUUCUAUAGCCAAACGGCUACUUAAUGUUGUUGGCCAAAAAAACAAAGAGAGUAUUGUGGUCUUUAAAAUAUUUUAGUAGUACAAGAUAAGGCUGGCCAGUAGAAUUGUUCUUUGUGUUUCUGGCUAGGUGGAGUUGUUUUUUUGUGUUUCUUUAUUUGGACUUUUGCAGGAUUUUUUUUUUUAAGAAAAAACUUAUUCUUUUUCAUCAAAUUACAAAUUAUGCCCUAAUGAAAUGUCCACCCUUUCCCAUUAAUUUAUAAAUCACACCCUAAUAGAAUACUAUCAAUGAAUGAAGUGGGGCCCAUUGAAUUUUUCUGAAUCUAAAUUCUAAGAAAUAAUUAAGUAAAUAAAAAACAAAUUUAUAUUAAUUAAUUAUAAUUAUAUUUUAAAACUAAAUAAGUGUGUACAUUUCUUUUUAUACUUUUCUCUUAUACUACAAACUAUUCUAAUAUAGAGCAUAUUUUUUUUGACUUAUUUAUUUUAGCAAAUUAAGAAAUAUCUAUUAUUUUCUUCUAAUAUUAUAUCAAAUAUAGAUUUUCAAAAUAAUUAAUAAAAUUAAUUUAGUAAAAUAAUUUUCUUAUAUAAAAUUUUUAGGACCCAUGUUAAAUCAAUAUAUUUUGGACUCUUAAUAAUUUCUUCUUAUAUAUUCAUUUUAUAAAAGUUCUUUUCAUAUAGUUUAGGAGUCUCAAUUUCUUUCCAUAAUUGACAUAUGUUUUACUCUUAAUUUUUGUAAACAAUAAUUACAAAAAAUGUGAAUAGACGAUUUUGUUUAUUUAUGAGUCUUUUAAUAAAGAAAAAAAAUUUAAAUAAUUUAACAGUGGAUCAAUAGGUACAUUAAUACUCCGUGUAUCAUUUAUGCUGAGAUGGAAGAAUUUUAUCUAGCUUUUUGUCAUACUAGUUUAGGUGUACGUGCUUCGCGCGUGUAUUUCACUUUAAUGAAUUCAAAUAUUACACUAAAUAAGAUAUUCGUUAAAUUGAUAAAAAUGAGUGUAAUAAUUAAAUUAAACAUCUUUUGAAUAUGUAAAGAUGGAGACUUUAUUUAAUUAAAUCUAACAUUUUGAUGAAAAUAAUUCUUGUCUAAGAAAAAAUUUUGACACUAAAGAAUAACUUGAAUGAAAUAAAUUAUUAGUAUUUAUGUAUUUAUCCCGACCUCCUGCAAUAAGGAUUCAUGAUUAUGCUUAGCAUCCAUGUGUUUGCAUUAGUGGAAAGUAAUUGAAUUUUCUCGUAAAAAAUAAUACACGUAACCUAUAUUUUUUCAAAAUAUAAAUUAUUAGUCUUUACUUCUACUAUUAUAUUUAUUUCUCAAAUAUAAGGUAUUAUAAUUAGGAUUCUUUUGUCAAAUAUAAGUUACUAUAAUUAGGACUCUUUUAAUAAUGGAGAUUUUUAUUUUUCCAAAAAUAUAUACUAUUAGUAUUUAUGUAUAAUUGUAAUUUAAAAAAAAUAGUAAAAAGACGAUUUUGUCUAAAGGAGAGUAUUUUAAUGAAGGGCAAAAAAUUCAAAGCACUUUUCUAAGGUCUUCACACUUUUAAUAUAUUAUAGAUAUUUAGGACUCUUAAUAAUUUCUCUCAUAUAUAAUUUUUUUUUUAAUAAAGGUCAUUUCAAUAUAUUUUAGGAGUCUUAAUUUCUUCCCCAUGAUUGUUAUAUAUUUUACCCUAAUUUUUGUAAAUAAUAUUUAAAAAAAAUAUGAUCAACAUCUUUUAAUGAAGGACAAAAAGUUCAAACAAUAUUUCUAAGAUACUUCACACUUUUAAUAUAGUACUAGUUUAAUCGUACGCGUCUUGCACGUGUAACGUUUGAUUGUUUAAAAUUAAAUGACUUUAUGUAUUAUAGAGAUUUUUAAUGAAGUGAGAAAAGUUCAAAUCACUUUUCAAAAAUUCUUCACACUUUAAUAUAACAAUAUAAAUAUAAACAUAUAUUUUGGUGUAAACACAUAUAUAUUUUGUCAUCAAAAGAUUCAAGUGGUUGAUGGAUCAUCACUUUUGUGUUUGAAAAAAAUCUUUCCCUUGCUGUAUUUAAACAAUAUUUGUGAUACAAUUAUUUUGUUUUUCUAUAUUUUUUUAAAUUAUUUUUAAAGUCAAAUCUCUACAAAAAUCAUUGAUUACAUUCUUAUUAUGUACUUAAAACUUUAUAAAACUUGGUACUUUUAAAAUUUUUCUUAUUCUAACGAUUAUAUAUUUAUUUCUAUAUUUUUCAAAUCUUCUUAAAAUUAGUUGAUUUAUAAUAUUUUUCAAAUCUUCUUAAUAUUUAGUUGAUUUAUAAUUCUUAAACUAAUGAAAAAAAUUAGUUGUCAUUAAUUUUAAUGAAUUCUAAUAAGGAAAGAUUUUACCAUAAACAUCUUUAAUUAAUUUUCAACUCUUAAAUAUUAGGAAAAUAGUAAAAAGACGAUUUUGUCUAAAACAAAAACUUUCAAAUCAAUGAAAAAUAAAAAGUUCAAAUAACAUUUUUAAGGCCUUCACACUUUUAAUAUAGUAUAGAUAUUGAUAAAUAUAGAUAUAGAUAAAUAUAAAUAUAAAUUUAUUAUUUAGACAAACAUAUAUAACAUUUUUACUUUUCAUAAUAUUGGGCCUGUGCUAGCACUACUAUAUUCCCCCUCGUAUUAAGAUAACUAUUGUAUCUUCGAUCGCCAUUUUGACUAAUGAUCCAAAUCAUUUCCAUUAUAAUAUCUGUAUCUUAAAGUGAAUUUAUUAAGAUUUCUUCGAAAGUCAAUAAAUAAAAUAAAGAGAUAUUAAAUUUGCAAAAUUAUUUUUCUUAUACAACAACAACAGUCCCAGUGUAUUCCCAUAAAGUGAGGUCUGUGAAGGGUAUCCCAUAAAGUGAGGUUUGGGAAGGGUAAGAUAUAUGCAGUCCAAACCACUAUCUGCGCAGAAGUAGAGAGACUGUUUCUGAUAUCUUAUGAUGCAAGAUAUAUAUAUAUAUAUAUAUAAUGUUGUUAUCUGCUGAAACAUUCUAUGAUGACAUUAGAUCACCAUUUGGGUUGGCAAGCAAUCAUCAUUAUCUUAAUUUCACAAGUUCAAUUAAUUGGUGGCAUGACUUAGGCCUUAGGGAGAUUUAUCGAAAUUGAUGUUACCUAUUUGAUAUGUCACAACUUGUGUUUGAUUCAUCUAAAUCAUUUAUAUAUGAUGUAAAAAUGAUAGGAAAAGUUGUUUUGACAAGAACAUUCAGGUAGUCUCUCAAUCAGUUUCAAGAGACUUUUGCAUAGCGUUCUUAAUGUGAACCGAUUAAACAAGAAGAGGGUAAAAAUAAAAUAAAUAUCAUAUAAAAUAGAAAUGAAAAAAGUUAAAUUUAUCCUUUUACUUUUCAUCCCAGUAAGAAUAUUUAUCACUGGGAGAUUUUCGAUGAAUGUAGUAAGGGAACUAGAGUACCACUCUGUCAGGAGAGAAAGAGGUAAACCAAAACAAAAAAAGUAAAUAACAUCAAAUGUAACAUAAAAUGACUAAUCAAAUUGAAAGUAACAACUAUGGGAACACAAGAUCCAUAUAACUCCAAUAUAAUAAUAGGAAAAUUACAAAUAUUCUACAAAAUGACUACACAACAAGUGUCAAAUACGAAGAAGCAAUAACUUUGCCUACAAAAGUAAAUAAAAAAAUCAUCAUCCAAAAUAGAUUUACUUUUCAGGACUCGAAACGGGAUGAUGUAGGACACUAAAUACGAUCUCCACCUUUCAAAUCAAAGAUCAAGAUAUUAAAAAUACUCCAUCAAAAUUACAGCCGAUCCAACACUGAACGUGUUGAAAAAUACUAUGUGAAAGUUGCUGAUCGGAGAGUAAAAACUACAAGAAGAUAGAACUCUUUUCUCCUUUUUUUGUUGAAAACUCUCUCAAAAGUUUAUACUUGUUAGGUUUUUGCCCUGAUUUUCUUACCAAAUUUAAGUUUUACUUCUCUUAAAAGGAAAAUAAAAGUAAUACCAUAAUUACUUUGACUUUUACUAAAAGAAAAAUAUAAAACUUUUUCAUAUUUGGCUAUCUUCUUUCUUAGAGGAAAGGCAUUGGAACUCUAUAUAUAGAAGACAACUCUUGUCAUAUCAUAACACAAUAGCAUCUAUAAUGUACUUUUUAAAGAGUCUUUGUUUAGGGAGAUUUCUCUCAAUAGGUUUUAGAUUUUUGAAUUUUAUUUUUAAUGUGUAGCGCAUUUGGCCAAACCAUAUCAAUAAUAUGCCUUUUAGUACUAUGUUUUUCUUUGUCAUCUAAAUGAUUAUCUCCGUGGUUUGCAAUUUUAAGCUUCCGCAAGACGCUCUCUCGAUUUCAAACCCAACAAGUGGUAUCAUAGCCUACGGUUCAAAGAUCCAUUGGCUUGAUAAAACGAGGUUGAAGAUAAGUUUAAGGCGGUUCAAAUCAAUUUGCAACCAAUUUGAUGAUAAUAGAGAUCUUUGUCUAGCUAUAUGUGGAGAAGGAGUUUAGAACGCAUCUUUAAAAGUAAAAAUAAGAUAUUUUUUAAAUGAAUUUUUAACCCAUAAUAUUUUAAACUUUAUUUUUAACCAUGAUAAACGACAGUAAUGAAGGUUAUAUGAAGAACCAAAAUUAUGCAUAUGACAUGAAAAAGACUAUUUUGCCAUUUAGACAAAAAUCUUGAAAAAUUUAUCAUAUACCCACUUUAAUCCACCUCAUCAAUAACUUUUUUAAUUUAAUAAAUUCACCCACAAGUUUAUAAUAAUACACUUUAACCCAAUCUUUUCAACUCAACAAAUUUACCCACAAGUUUUUAAUAAUACACUUCAACCCAUUCCACCAUCCACCAUUAUAUAAUACAAAAAUAUCUAGGUUUUCAAAAAUAAUUUAAAAAAAAUUUAAAAGCUUAAAAUAGAAGGUUCUUUCCCUCUAAAAAUAUCUGAUUCAAUCCACUUUUCUGGCGCUAUUUUUCGGCGUUCAGCUUUAAAUCAGUCCACAAAGAUUAUAAGCUUGUCCAUCGCAUCCAUUAUUACCCCAUUUAUUUGCUAUGUUCUCAAACACACUUUCCACAUUGUUAAAAAGCUUUCAAUCACUCACAUUACUCAAAACAUCUUUAGAAAGUGCAUUAUAGUAGCUCAGGUGACUCCAAGUUCAUUUCUCUAUUCCAUAAACCUAACGAUAGUUGAUUAGAAGCAAUAUUUGUAAUUUUAAAGUUUUUGUAUGGAUAUCUGCCCAGUCAUCAGCCAAUCAUCGUCAGUCAUCGACCAUGCAUAUAUCCCAACAUAGACCAUCAGCAUAAUCGACCGUCGACCAAUGCUUAAUUCUAGGAUGUCUAUUGCAAAAUUUAUUCUAGUUUCUGGUGAUUUUAUGGGAGAAUGGGAGGAGACUCCCAAAUGUUGGAAAUGAAAAUCUUUUACCAAGGUGACACUGCUCAUUGCUGUUUGCCAUAAUGGUUCAUACGAUGAAUUAGUUGCAAGCAUAAAGGAGAGCGGGGAUCUAAAUUGUGCGUCGAGCGACGUGGUGAUUAGUUAUUUAACACAUUCGAGGGAAAGGGAGAAUCCUAUGAUCAUAAAUAAUGAUGUACGUGUGUUGAUGUACAUGAUGAAUGUUGAGUCAGAAAGCUUUAGGCCUAUUUUAAGGAUAAAUGUAGUUGAGAGAUCCUAUGAAGGACCGCUGAAUUCAUCACCACCCCCACCUCAACUCCCGACAGUUGAUGACAAUUUUAAUAAUUAUGAGAACGAUGACGAUCAUCCAAUUAAUAUGGAAGAUGAUUCUAUUCAUAUGGAAGACGUUUCAUCAGACUCGCAAAAUGCGGAAGAAGAUUGUGGAACGGGAUCACAACCAGGACAUUCCUUCACUGAUGGAACUAAUUUCUAUUAUGAUCAAACAUUCGCCAACCAAAAAGAGCUCAAAAUUCUCAUAGAUGGAGCAGCGGAGAGAAAGUCUUUUGAUUAUUUUAUGGAGAAGAGUUGCACCAAAUUAUUGAAAGCAAAAUGUGUAUGUUUUAGUUGUGGCUACUUGUUGCGGGCAAAGAAGUAGAAACCUCAGAUAGAUUUCAUAUAUACAAGUAUGUUGGGUCCUACAUUAUAAUGCCCCAAAUCAGAUACCCAAAAUGCUACAUGGUGCUCAUGACCCCGAAGGACCACAAGAUAACCCAUGACUGAUAUCUGUACCUGUAUACUGCAUAAAAUACUUUAUAAUGAAGAAACAUGAACUGAAAGACCAUAAGAUUCAAAACUGAGACAUAGUAUAUGAUAAAAUGCAAUAUCUGGAAGGGGUAUGAAAUACCCAAAACAAUUGAAAUAAGCUAUCUGAGCAUACUGUAGUCUGGAAAGCCUCUAAAACAUGAUUGUUUGAAUAAGGAGUUGAUGGGACAUGUCCCCAAAAAACUCUAACUAAUAAACUAAUUAGUGAGAUAAUAAGAUAAUAAUUAUGUCCUCAAAAGAUAAGGACUCACUGCUAACUCUGACAGCUGAGACUGGAAUCUACUGAUGCUCUGGAGUCGUGUCUCUGAACCUAUGAUAUAAGACACCAUAGGCAAAUGUGUUAGUACUUUGAAUGUACUUGUAUGCAUGUGAGGUAGGAUGAAUGCAUGGGGUUCAUAUGCAUGAACAAUAACAAUAGUAGACUGACUAUCAUGGGCGUGAGAAUACAUGCAUGAGAUAUAAUAACUGGCACUGAUGCCUGAUAACAUAAUUACUGAAUCUGAAUACUGAUAACAUGACAUACUGAUAACUGAUAUAACUGAUAACAUAAGUGACUCCUGAAUCUAAUAGAACUAGCUGAGUCCCAUACUGUAUCUGAGUUGACUGUAUCUGACAGUCCUAAAAUCUGAAGAACUAUCUGAGUUCUUUUACUGAGACUGAUACUGAAACUGUAGGAGAUAGUUAUCUAACCGACAUGCCCCUAAUAAGCUAUUAUAGCUGUGCUGGGUUCCAAUCUGUAACCUCAAUUGGAAGAGUGUCAAUACCACACCACUAGUAAGGACAAGCUGUGGGUGACCCUCGUUUGAUAGUGUCCCCUAAAGAGAAUGAUGGGACCCUCAUCUGAUAGUGUUUAUCCACCUCAUCAACCCUCAUCGAACAGUGUUGAUGUCUCAACCUGUGCUGAAUACAUAGUUCUGGAACGCAAGGAUGUCUUCUAAGAAUCACACCCUCAUCUGACAGUGUGUGUUCCCAUCCUUGGGUUCACUCGGUGUAAUUCCUACUCCCAUCUGAAUAGGCUUUAAAUAUGAUUAACUGAACUAAAUUGGGUUAAGUUAAAUGAGUUUCGUUGACUGAUAGAAUGCUACUGAUAUCUGAAACUAACUAAAAUUACUGAGUUAUCCUAAGUCAUGAGACUGACUGAAUUCUACUGAACUUAGCUUGACUGAGGCUAUCUUGGAAACAUGACGCUGAUUCUAGGCACACAACUAUAUUUUUCGGGUACAAGUACCCCCAGAACUCGAUGGAAGCAACUGAAAAAGCAUGACUUUUUUGCGUACAAGAUCCACAUCAACAAUACAUAAUCUAAUAAGUUGUGGAUUUCACAAAGUACAUGAUUAUCAUACUAUCUAACAUGGACGAGAAUGCUGAUAAUCAUAUCAUAAUCUCAUGUUCUAAUAUCAUGGGAAUUCCGACAAUAUAUACAUUUCACAAUGAUAGUAUGGAGACCAUUUAAACAUAGAAGGAUGACAAGCAUGUCACAUUUAGUUUAUGUUUUGAGCUAUAAGGCAAAAUUUCUACUCCUCCAAGCAUUUUAUCAAACACCUUGCAUGCACAAUUUAUAGCAUAGGUGAAAUCAUCAAAUUACACAUCAUAAGCAACUAAAUUCAUGGAUUUUAUCUUUCAUAUUAACAUAGUAUCAUGAAAAACACACAAAGACUCCAGAUUUGAAAUCAAUCAACGUCAACAACAUGAUUACAAUUAACCCACAACAUAAAUACCAUGAUUUAUAGAUAAAACAAGGUUCUUGUGCUUCAUGGAUGGAAAGAAUCCAUGAAUGAACAUAACACAUACCUUGGUUCAUAAAUACACGAAGAUUGACGAAGGAAAUUCUUGAUUUUGAAUCUUCUAUGAAAAGCCCUAGGUUGUUUUUGAGAGUUUUUUGAGAGAAGAAAAUGUAUUUUGGGUGAAAAGUGGAUAAAUCAUGUGUUAAAAGGCUUAAAUAGGGGUGGAAAAUUGACCCUUUUAAUCCUGGACGCAUCUUGUAAUUUCAGUAAAAUUUUUUCGAAUUGGACCCCUGGCGCGACGCGGUGCUAUCGCGCCGUGUCACUAGAAUUUGACAAUUGGGAAAUUGAGGGAUGGCGUGACGCGGAUCCAUCAUGUUGCCCCUUAUUUUGAGACCGCUAUGCUAGCUUCCUUGGGAAUACUACCUUGAGGUAGGAUUACUCAACGAUCCUUGUUACCUUAACUCCCUUCUCCUGGGAUGAAAAUUGAACUUUGGCGCGAUGUGGAGGAAAUCGUACUGAGACACUGGAAAAGGAUAAUUGCCAUUUUAGCUUGUAGCGCAGUGCGGCACUGACCAAUAUGGCCCUAUUUUACGAUGGAAACUUGAAAUAGUCAUAACUUCUUACUCGGUUAUCGGAUUUAGGCGAGUUUUUUAUUGAUGGAAAGCUUAUUGAAUUCCCCACAUGACAAAAAGUGAAAAUCUUAAAAAUACCAUGUGUACAAAAGUGGCUUAAUCUUUCAAAAAAAGAUCCUAAUAUUUUUUAGAUGAUUUCAAGAUAGGAAAAGGUAUGGGGUAUUACACACAUGUGCGGUGUUGAAUACGCCACAGGAAGGCAUAAGAGAAUCUCAUCCGAAUUUAUUGCUGCAUUAUGCCUAAAUCAUUUUCGGGGAGAAAUUUAGAGGAUUAUGUUUAGGGAGAUGCAUUGUAACUCAAGCUAUUAGAUAUGUUGGAAAGAAAGUAUAAUUGCGAAGAACAUCAUUCGUGGGACAGCAGAGCAUGGAUAUUUUUGCUUGCAGGAUUUUUCCCACAUGAUGGAGUUAUUGAUUCCUGGGUCUUCCUACUUUAUCAUGGUAAAAAGGAAGGAUGGAUCACUCGUUUGCUAUUUUUCUAGCAUUUAGAGCUUGCAUAUAGGGAUAUGCCCACAUGAAAAGGUAAUUAUCAUCGAUGACACACAUUUGUAUGAAAAGUAUAGGUGUGUGUGCUGAGUGUCGUUGCAUAAAACACUAAAAAUCAUAUCUUUUCAAUUGCCUUUUGUGUCAUGGAUAAAGAGAAUGAUUCUUCUUUGACCUUCUUCUUCGAGAAGUGUGAAGUCUAUAGUAGAAGAUGAACCAGAUCUAUGUGUCAUCCCCGAUAGACAUAUUAGCAUUGCCAAUACAUUCUCCCAUGUUUACAGUGAUGCACAUCAUGGACUUUGCAUGAGACACAUCGUUGAAAAUCUUCGUGUAAAUUAACACUAUGGAGAACAUCUUUAUCUAUUCUACGCCGCGGCAAACACUUAUUUUCUUGAUGAGUUUAGCAAGUAUUUUACAAAAUUGAAGAAUAAUUUCCCUGAGGUAGCACAUGUCCUUGAAAAUGUGAUUGGUUUUGAGAAAUGGAGUAGAGCACACUUCUCAGGCAAUAGGAAUGAUAUGAUGACCACAAACAUCACCAAGUCGCUCAACUCGGUGUUGACGGAUGAACGGGAGUACCCCAUGGUAUAUAUAUUCAAUUUAAUUUCUAGAAAAUUUGGUCAAAAGUUUAGGGAGUGGCAUGCCUUUAUCAAUGGUACAAAUAAUAAAUUUGUUCCUUGUGCGGAAAAGAUCCUAAGAGAUAAUGAAAGAGUGCGAGCGAUUCCUUGUAUGUGACUUAUGUAAACGGAGGUCUCGACCAAUUCAUGGUGUUCGGUAACGGUGUUACUGCCAAGGUCAAUCUCUUGGAGAGGAGUUGUUCUUAUCGAAAAUUUGACUCGGUGAAAAUACCGUGCGAACAUGACAUGACAACUUUAUGAGCAUAGUAUGGCGAAGGCUAUGGUAACUCCAUCUAUGAGUACUCUUCGUCAAUUUAUAAAGAUGAAACUUACCUCCUCGCAUACUUGAAAGAUAUUAACAUUAUACCUCCAGAGGUCGAAUGGACUGUGCCACAGGAAUUGUAAGACACUAAGAUUUGUUCAUCCCCCUACGAUCCUAAAAUUGAAAGAAAGAAAGUCAAAUAUGUUAAGGGAGUCGGUGAGACAUUCAAGUCCAAAAGGAGGAAUAGGUGUUCAAUAUGCAAGAAAUUCGAGCACAAAAGAAUCACAUGUAGCAUGGCCAACAAAUCUUAGAUAGGCUUUUUUUCUCCAGUUGUAAAGCUACUGUUUUGGGGGAUAAAUGUGUAUUUCUAUAGAAUUUAACGUUCAGUUGUAAUCGACUUAAAGCUUUGUCUACGGUAGACAACGUAAUUCUAUGGUCUACCUUUCACACGACCUAUAAAAUAUUAUGUAUUGGUUAUAUAAUUACUCAUCUAACACGCUAUGUGGGUCUUUUUAUUGUCAUAUCUCUCCAAUCGAUGCAUUGAAUCAUUGUUUUAUGUUCCCAUUUAAUAAAAAUAUGCAAAAAGGUCUGUUCUUAAGAAAAACUGCUAGUAUACACUAGGUAAGCCUUUUUUAUUCCAUACGCGUUGACUGACUAUUGGGUGGGAAUACGAAAAGCCACCUUUUAUAGGUCUAUAAGUAAAGUGACUAUUUCUAUGUAAACUUUUAGUUGUCCUUAAACCCAAAACAUCAGAAACCCUCAUCUUCUUCUUCUUCAUCUUCUUCAUCAAACUGAAAUCAUGCCUCCUAGAAGGAUACCCCUAUGCCCCAUCAGACGAGUUCCCUUAAGACACUACGAUCUCCUACUGAUAAGUAAUGAUUUUGAUCAUAUUUUUCAUGUCCUGGGUUAAGAUCGCGUCUACUUAGAGUGUGAACUCUGUCGAAUUUCUCGUUUCUUGAGGGCAGUUGUUACGACCCAAACGAGGGCCUAGCCAUGACGGACAUCCCGAACCAUGCUGGCUCGAAACGCCCUUCUCUAUCUAGUAAUCAUGCACAACAUUCAUAUAAUAAAAGAAGAUGCAGAAAUAUAAUCUGAUACGAAAACAUGGUCAUACUCUGGAUUUAGUUUAAUAAUAAGGAAUGAAAUCCAAAAUCAACUAAACAGCAUCUGGAACAGUCUGCAGAAUCUCUACUACAAAAUCAAAUGACAACUGUCUGAAACUGGGACAAAGCCCCCAGUGGACCUAAACCAAAAUAAAUAACAUAAUCUGAAAGACACAAGCCUUCUGGAAUUAAGAAGGCUCACCAACUGCACACUUCACUGCUAUCUGAAAACUCUACUAUUUAGCAGGAUCUCUGAACUAAGCUUUAGACCUUGGGAGGUAGGGGGUCAAUACAAAUAUACUGGUACGCAGAGAAAACCAAAAAUAAUAAUUUAUAUUCAACAUAUAUGAGAGUAAUUUAAAAUAGCUCAUAAACAUAUCAUAUGGUAAGAAAUCACAUGGGCAUUUUCGAAAGACUGUAGAAUCAUCUGAACUCUGAGAAAUUCUUUGUUUUACUUCUGCGCUAGGUGGUAUACCCUACAACUCUGAAAUUCCAUGGGCUAUAUGGAAGUAGCCAUUAACUCGGUAGCCAAGCCCCCAACCCAAGUGUGCCGCAAGGGUCAGAGUCUCUGAAUCUACUAUGCCACACGAUCGUCGCCAGCGUACACUAAUAAUCUACCAGUAUCAGAAAAUACGGUUUGAGGAUAAGAGUUAAUUGAACUCAAGCCCUCUUCGGGUAACCACCUAACCCUCUUUAAGCCCAUUUUUAACUCUUUUAAAAUCAUGCAUCUUCUAAAAACAUACUCUGAAAUCUCUUAUCUGUUAUGGCAUACAUACUUAUGGUAUCGUCAUACCAUUGACUUGUAAGUCAUAUCUCUGAGUCAUUAAUAACAUAUUAUAAUCUCUGUUUUCAAAACAUAAGUUUGGGACCACCAUAUCAAUAAAUCAAUUCAAAGAAACUCCUUCUCAAACCUCAUGUAAACACAUGGAAGGAACUUUCUUUGUCAAGCAUUUCAAUAAUACAAGGUGGUCAUGUCAAAUUUCUCAAUCACAUGCAACUCUUUCACAUUUAAAACAAGGAUGUAAUUAUAUCAAGAAGCUCGCUCUCAUCAUCUCUAAAUUAUGCUCAGACACUAAGGUAUUCAGAAAACUAAUUUCAAACCAUAAGUCAUGCAUUUUAAAUCAUUCAUAAUAAGAUCAUAGACUUGAAUUUAUUAUGAGAGAGGGACUUCAUAAUCUGUGCUCUCAAACAAAUCUUAAAUUUCAAUUUCAUACGUAUACAUAUACUUGUAAAUCAAUUUGAGGGGAUGAGGCCUAAACAACAAUAUCAAUAACAUGCAUAAAGAAUAAUAAAAAUCAUGGAUUUCAAACCCUUUUAACAAAUUCAUACUUUAUAAUCUUUAAAUCAUAAUUGAGUAUUUUCAACAAGCCCAUGUAUUUUUAGGAUAAACCCCACGUACCUUAAAUAGAAAAUUAGAGACUGAUUCUUGAAGCCUACGGUUUGGGAAUUCGAAAUCUUUAAUUAAUUUCGAAAACCCACGGUUGAAUCUUGAGAUUAUUGGAAGAGGUUUUAGGAUGCUUAGGGUUUUUGCUUUGUAGAGAAUGAAGAUUUGGGAAUAAAGUACUUUUGUUAUGUCAUUGAUUGUAUAUUUAUAGACGGAUUGGAGUUAGGGUAGUUUCCCAAAAUAUCCCCCUUUUAACCCUUAACGUAACUGAAAAAAUAUAACUGGGAGUCCAAUUUAAUGGGCCACCGUGACGCGCCACUAUCAUAGUGGCUCACUGGAAAUUGAUGAAUGGAAAUUUGGCCCACUCCGCGACGUGCCACCAUCACGGAGUCCCACUGGAAAUUGACCAUCAUCAUUUACACCUUCUCCGUAACGCGCCAAGGACAGGAAUGACGGUGUUUUACGACUAGGACUUAAAUUAAUCAUAACUCCUUCACCGAAUGUCUAUUUUGGAUACAUUUUAUGUCGACGGAGAACUUAUUCAAUUAUCUACGAAAUGAAAAGUUGAAAUCUAAGGGAUUUCACCAGAAAAAAAUAUAAAUCAUUCUAUAAGCCAACGCUUGAUAUUUUAGGGAUAAAAAUUUAGCUAAGAAAAACUUUGGGGCAUUACAAUAUCCCCCCCUUGGGAACAUUCAUCCCCGAAUGUUGGGUAGGAACGUUGAAGCUUAAAGGUAAGGAAUAACAUGGACAUGAUGUGUCUUCUAAGAAAGGAUGUAACUGAUCUGAAACAUUUAAACUUUAAUCAUGAAACUGAAUUUUGAGAUAACUUGCCCUUACUUGUUUUAAGGAGCUGAUUCAUGCUGAGAGUUUAGGAUUCCACCCGAAGUGUUUAUGCUUAAAUCACAUACAUUGGAUUUGAAAGUGAUAACUUAUGUAAGUACGAAUCAUGAGGAAACAAUAUUUAGAUCGUACAAAGGUAUUACACUAUCUGAGCUAAAAUAGCUGGAAAAAUAUUUGAGAUUAUGUGUUGAACUCUUAUGAAUUGAGUCAUGACUAAAUAACUGAAUCUGAAACAUGAUGCUUGGACUGAACUAAGUUUGCAACUUACGCGUAUGGAAUAUAUCAUCUUUUGGGAUGGUCAUAUGCAUUGGACUUCAGAUAGUAGGACUGGGUGAAAAGGUGGAAAACCACAGCAACUUAUCUGCCUGACUGCUAAACUGAAUUAUAUGGGACACUUAUACUUAACUGGAGUAUCUCUUCAACACUCUUUUUAAAGACGUUCUAGCAGCGUCAGGGAGCAAAUAAUCUCUGACAUGAGUUAUAAAAGACAUCAAACUAAGGAAUCACAGCAAUGACACUACUCUAUAGCAUGGAAUAUAGACAUAUAACUCAUAAACUAGGAUAGAAUUACCAAACCUUAGGCAAUGCAACUUCUUACUUUUGAGUUUUGCCACACUUCAAAAAUACUCUCUCAACUAUACUUUCCUCUUAAACACCAUGCUCAUUGAUUUCACUUAUUUUUCUCACAUGGCCGCUGAUAUUUUCAUCUACUAAUGUCUAAACUGAACUAAAUUCCCUCAUCAUCUUCAAUCCUAACUCAAAAUCACAAGACGCACCACAUAAUACUGUAGUAUUAGUCUGAAUCAUGAAUUUAGCACACCCUACAUUUCAUAAUUCCUCAUCUCCACUCCAGCAAUCACCUUCAACUUCGUAUUAGACAUUCACAAACACUCAAGGCAUCCAUCCAUAUACAUAUAAACAUGACAUUUAAGGCUAUCUUCAUACCCACAUGUGCACUUCUAAACAACCACUCAUAAAGCAUAUUUCUCAUAUUCUCUAACACUUCUAUCCAUAAUAACUUCCCUGCACUAUGUAGAUGACACAUAUAAAAUAUUCUCAACUAACCAAGCCAUACACGAAACUUCACCUCAAAAUUCUUUCAACUUAUGUACUUACAUAAAACAAGCACACAACAAUUUUUCCAAGAUAUAACACAUAAAAUUUCAACUAACCUUGACACGUAUCAAAGACUCGUCCUCAAACUUACUCUACAAUUACCGCCUUAACUUAAAUAAGCAUACAACCUUCUUUCAUCAAUAAGAAAUAUUUAGUCUUUCCCUUUUAAGCAACUGUUCAUCAUCACUAUCUCGACCUAAGGGAAAAGGUCACUGAAAAAUUGGAAUACCAAAAUUCGGAACAUGAGGGGAGUACUAAGCGUAACUUGAUACCCUACUGAGGCGUGAGGAAUAGAGCACUCAUAGCAUGGACUCAUUGAAGAGAUCUAAUAUGAGGACGUACCUGAUAUAAAUCUGAAUUUUCAUUGAUCAUUAAGAGUAUCACAUGUGCACAAUAGUCAUGAACUGCAUGAUCUGAAGUUUUUUGAAAUUCAUAACUUACGAAAAGCAAUUCUGACUGCUAAACAAACUGGGAACUCAUCAUACUAGGAACUAAGAGAGUACAUGAUAUCUUAUCAUAUGCCUGAACACGAGCUAUGAUCAUGAAGUUGGACAUAAAGCAUAAGUAUGUAUCGAAAUAACUGAAGUAAACUGGUGAAAUAAGAAUCGAUUGCGCAUCAUUCUUUCUCGCGGCCAAUUCCACAACUUACUGGCACAUCUAUUAUCAUCUGAAAACUUGACUUGGUUACUUUUUCUAUUAUCUUACCCUUAGAUUUAAUUUACUACUCUAAGUCUGUGAACCACUAUAUACACUCUGGUAUGAACUGAAAUUAAUUUACUCUAGAGUCGGGGAUAUAACAAUACAUAUAAAACUAAACUUACCUUGUAAGACGAUAUCUUCAUGUAUAACUAUCAAUGCUAAUACGUACUUCUAAGAUUCAAACCUUAGGUUUCUAUAUCCCCAAAAGUCAUCAUAUAAUAGCUUAAACAUUCACCAACUCAGAUUCUUCUAACACUAAACAUGGAUAUCUCCAAACCUUUGUUGGACCAUACCACUUUUGUCAUAGUCUACCAGCAUCACGACUCCAAACUUAUAUCUCUCUACUAUGAGAAUCAAGAUCAUAUCAAAAGUCUUAACAUUAUCUAUCGAAACUCCUUAACUUGGCUAUUUAGAACACCAUAUACCAUUUAACUAGUCUUUCUCCAUCUAGCAACUCAACGGCACCACUAGCUACACACAACAUGUAAUAGCCUUAGAAAAAUACUGCAACCUCAUAUCUCCUUGGCAUACUUCUACUUCAUACAUACAACAUCAUUCUUCAUUACAAACCAAAUAAACUUAAGCUCUUGCAUGCACUGUUCAAGCCUAUUAGAUCGCUUCCAUAAAACUAGUAUUAUUAACCAAGAAUUAAUCAUAUCCACCUUCAUGACAUCACUGCUAUGCCUUAAAAUCUACUACAUACCUUCUCACAAGUAGUACUAGUCUACAAUUACCAAAGAAAGUAAAGUCAAGGGGGUAGAGUCACAUAAUAGACAUGGUCAACCUUAAUCUUAUAUUAUCACCCCAUACAAUCUUAUCUACUUAUACGACUUUCUCACAUCACACUCACUCUACCUUCAAAUUCCACAAACAACCUUGAGUGUAUAAUUAUAACUUACUGGCUAAUAUAGCCAUUUUCAUACUUCGAGCAAACAACAACUCACCUUAGCGAAUAACUCCUUCUCUAUCUUCUACUAAACUAAAACACAAGGAUGUAUCACUUUAAUACCAACUCAAUAUCAUGCCAAAAAAUUUGGCUAUACAUACAUUCACUAAAUUUCCCUUACCACUUUUCUUGCUAUUACGCCUCUAAACCCCCAGUUCCACCUAACACAAGAACAAUAAAUGAACAACAAGUUGCUAGUGAAUCAAAAUAGACCUCACAUGGCUUCACUAGACUUUGAUUUUAUGUUUUGAACAAGAAAAUGAGCGAAACGACAAGGCAACUAUGCUAGUGAAUCAAAAGAGCCCCACAGACUACCAUACAAUCCACACAUGCUAUUGACUACCACAUUAGUCUAUCACUAUAAAUGAGUAAAUCAUCCUCAAACAUCGAUUAUUCAACUAAAAUAUUUAUUUGCACACAAGUCACCCUCACUCUAACUUCUAACCUUGUGACUUCAUAUCACCAGUUUCUUGGUCUAAUCUCACUAACAAUAGGUCAUGACAACAACACUUUAACUUAUACUACUAUUCGGGUGGAAAUAUAGUUCCAAUAUUCUGCUACACAUUAUUUCCCUUGUUAGGCAUGACAUCUUCAAUAUAAAUUUUGAAAUGGACUGAAUACACUCAAUACCGCAGGCUAGAAAGCACGAUUUCAUCAUAAUCAAGGUUCACACUAGAAUCAAUACACUCUGAAGCACUAACGGACUCUUCUCAAGCCCUUGCAUAAUUUUAAAAUCUUAUAUGGCUCAAUCAGAAAGGACCAUACCAUUUAAAUUCUAAACUUCUAGAUUUGAUUCACCUCAACAAUGAGACAUAUUUGAGCACAUCAAAGUAAGGAAAGAAUUAGGAUAACUUUACUUUCGUAUGGGCAAUACCAUAGCAUGAACUAGAGUAUGAAAGAGGAACAUUCCGACUCUAUUGCACGAACUAGAACAUAAAGAAAGAGAGAUAUUUCUAAAUGCCUUGUAGCCUCCUACUUAUAAGUUUGGCGUGCUACACACCCAUAAAUAAGACUCUACCCAAUGCAAUUUCGCAGACACCCUGGGACCAUGAACCAUGCUAUGAUACUAAGAUUGUCAUGACCCGAACGAGGGCCUGGCCAUGAUGGACAUCCCAAACUAUGAAGUCCCAGAAUGCCCUUCUCUAUUUGGUAAUCAUGCACAAUAUUCAUAUAAUAAAAGAAGAUACAGAAAUCUAAUCUGUUAUAGAAACAUGAUCAUACUCUGGAUUUAGUUUAAUAAUAAGGAAUGAAAUCCAAAAUCAACUAUAUAACAUCUGGAAUAGUCUGUGAAAUCUCUACUACAUAAUCAAAUGACAACUGUCUAAAUCUGGACAAGGCCCCCAGUGGACCUAAACCAAAAUAAAUAACGUAAUCUGAAAGACACAGGACUUCUGGAAUUAAGAAGGCUCACCAACUGCACACUUCACUGUUGUCUGAAAACUUUACUAUUUAGCAAGACCUCUAAAUUGAGCUUUAGACCUUGGGAGGUAGGAGGGUCAAUACAAAUGUACUGGUAUGCAGAGAAAACCCAAAAUAAUAAUUUAUAUUCAACAUCUAUGUGAGAAAUUUAAAAUAACUCAUAAAUAUAUCAUAUGGUAAGAAAUCACAUGGGCAUUUUUGAAAGACUGUAGAAUCAUCUGAACUCUGAGACAUUCUUUGUUUUACUUCUGCACUAGAUGGUAUACCCUACAACUCUGAAAUUCCACGGGCUAUAUGGAAGUAGCUAUUAACUCGGUAUCCAAUCCCCCAACCCUAGUGUGCCGCAAGGGUCGGAGUCUCUAAAUCUACUAUGCCAUACGGCCGUCGCCAGCAUACACUAAUAACCUACCCGUAUCGGCAAAUACGAUUUCAAGAUAAGAGUUAAUUAAACUUAAGACCUCUUCAGGUUACCACCUAACCCUCUUUAAGAUCAUUUUUUAACUCUUUUAAAAUCAUGCAUCUUCUAAAAACAUACUCUAAAAUCUCUUAUCUGUUAUGGCAUACAUACUUAUGGUAUCGUCAUACCAUUGACUUACAAGUCACAUCUCUGAGCCAUUAAUAACAUAUUAUAAUAUCUAUUUUCAAAACAUAAGUUUGGGACCACCAUAUCAAUAAAUCAAUUCAAAUAAACUCUCUCUCAAACCUCAUGUAAACCCAUGGAAGGAACUUUCUUUGUCAAGCAUUUCAAUAAUACAAGGUGGUCAUGUCAAAUUUCUCAAUCACAUGCAACUCUUUCACAUUUAAAACAAGGAUGUAAUUAUAUCAAGAAGCUCCCUAUCAUCAUCUAUAAAUCAUGCUCAGACACUAAGGUAUUCAGAAAACUAAUUUCAAAUCCUAAAUAAUGCAUUUUAAAUCAUUCACAAUAAGAUCAUAGACUUGAAUUUAUCACAAGAGAGGGACUUCAUAAUCUGUGCUCUCAAACAAAUCUUAAAAUUCAGUUUCAUACAUAUACAUAUACUUGUAAAUCAAUUUGAGGGGAUGAGGCCUAAAUGCCAAAACAACAAUAUCAAUAACAUGCAUAAAGCAUAAUAAAAAUCAUGGAUUUCAAAUUCCUUUAGCAAAUUCAUGCUUUAUAAUCUUUAAAUCAUAAUUGAGUAUUUUCAACAAACCCAUGUAUUUUUAGGAUAAACCCCACGUACCUCAAAUAGGAAAUUAGAGACUGAUUCUUGAAUCCUACGGUUUGGGAAUUUCAAAUCUUUCAUUAAUUUCAAAAACUCAUGGUUGAAUCUUGAGAUUCUUGAAAGAGGUUUUGGGAUGCUUAGGGUUUUUGCUUUCUAGAGAAUGAAGAUUUGGACAUAAAGUGCUUUUGUUAUGCCAUUGAUUAUAUGUUUAUAGACGGAUUAGGGGUAGGGUAAUUUUCCAAAAUACCCCCUUUUUAACCCUUAAUGUAACUGGAAAAAUAUAACUAGGAGUCCGAUUUAAUGGGCCACUGCGAUGCACCACUAUUGCGGUGGCUCACUGUAAAUUGAUGAAUGAAAAAUUGGCCCACUCCGCGAUGUGCCACCAUCGCGGAGUCCCACUGGAAAUUGACCAUCGUCAUUUACACUCUCUCCGCGAUGCGCCAAGGACAAGAAUGACAAUAUUUUAUGACUAGGACUUAAAUUAACCAUAACUCCUUCAUCGUGUGUCCAUUUUUGAUGCAUCUUAUGUUGAAGUAAAACUUAUUCAAUCAUCUACGAAAUGAAAAGGUAAAAUUUGAGGGAUUCCACCGGAACAAAGUAUAAAUCAUUCUAGAAGGUCAUGCUUAAUAUUUUAGGGACAAAAAUUUAUCUAAGAAAAACUUUUGGGCGUUACAGCAGUUCUGAAUAGGCUUGGAAUAGAAGGUCGUGACUACAUCACCCCCAGUAUCCCCCUAAAAUUAGUUUUUAAGUUUUUAUUUUUUUUAUGUUUAUAAGUUUUUGUAUGUGUUCAUUGUAGAAGAAACUUUCUUGGUAGGAUUGUUGUUAGAAGAAAACUUUCUUUUUUGAUUUUUUUGCUUGUUCUGGCCACUGAUGACAAUGUAUAAUUGUGCAAUGAACAGAUAUUAAUAUAAAUAUUUUUGUUUUCAAAUUUUGUUUCCUAUUUUUUGGUUCUUGUUGUUUUUUGUGUUUGCUUUAUUGCUUGUUCAAUGAAUGCAUCUGUAGAUUGACUUGAUUAAAUUCACGUAGAGUAAAAAAAUUUGAUAAUAAAUAUAGAUCACAUAAAUAGUCUAUCAUCGAUCUUAGACUCAGUCACGCCUCGAUCAAAUAUAGUAGUCGAUCGUAGACCAUAUGGAUCGAUGGGCCAUGAGUAGGUUAUAGUUUGAAAUAAAAUAAUUAAAUUUAAAAAAGUUCAAAUAGAUAAUCACAUGAUUUGAGGCUGGUGAAAGAAAAUAAUUAAAUUAAAAAAAAUUAAACAGAUAAUAACAUGUUUUAGGGCUGGUGAAAGAAAAUAAUUGAAUUAGAAAAGAUUUAAAUUGAUAAAUCACGUGUUCUGAGGCUGGUUAAAGAAAAUAAUUAAAUUUUAAAAAUUUUAAAAACAUAAUCACAUAAUUUGGGAGUGGUGAAAGAAAAUAAUUAAAUUUAAAAAGGUUUAAACAUAUGAUCACAUGAUUUGGGGGGUGGUCAAACAAACAAUCUUGAACUAUUGGUGACACUUAAUAGACUGCCAUCGAUGUUGACCCAUUUCAAAUUCAUGAAAAAAAUAUACUUGUAUUUUGAGGGUCCAUCGAUUUGCUUGGUCUACCGUAGACUUACACCGUAAGGAGUGCAACAAUUGAUCUCCUUAUUAUUCAUAGACCACAGAGAUAUAUGUACACUGGUAACUAUCAUUAUUUGGAUAUUAUUUAAAAAUGAAUAAAUAAAUUAAAAAUAAAUAUAGUGUGGAUUUCUACACAUAUGAAGGAGUGUAAACAAGUCACAAAAUCAUAUUAGAGCUUAUACAAAUUAGAGAUGGUGAAUUAAAGCGUGCGUGGAUUGGUAGUGGUUAAACAAAUAAUGUCCUAGCAGUAAUGUUUGUCAAAGUAAAAGUAUGUUUUGAGGAUGUUGAUUGUAUUUGAUAACUACUCAUUUCACACACUCCUUAAACCCCCCCACCCCAAAUCAAAAGAGUAUGUGGAAUGGAUAGUGGUCGAACAAUCAACAUCCUCAAAACAUACUUGUGCUUUGACAAACAUUACUCUUAGGAUAUUGUUUGUUCAACCACUACCCACACACACACUCCUUAAUUCACCAUCCUUAAUUUGUAUAAGUUCUAAUAUGAUUAUGUGACUUGUUUACACUACUUUAUAUGUGUAGAAACCCACACUACAUUUAUUUUUAAUUAAUUUAUUUAUUUUUAAACAACAUCCAAGAAUGGUCUUUACCAGUGUACAUAGAUCUCUGUGGUCUACAAAUAAUCAGGAGAUCAAUCGAUGCACUGCUUAUGGUGUAAGUCUACGAUAAACUAAGAGAAUCGAUGCACCCUCAAAUCACAAGUAUAGUUUUUACUGAAUUAUUUUUUUUAAAAUAUGUUAGUGAGGAUCCAUCAAUUACGAGUAUCUACGGUAUACUUUAGUAUCUCGUUGAUGACUGACAUAGAUCAUGAUCUAUGACAGUCUAUUAAGUGUCACCAACAGUUCAAAAAACACAAUUACGGUUCCAACGAUAACAAACAACUAUUUUUGUACUCCUUCAAUGUUAACACUUAUUUUUACUUCAUAUAUAAAGUCCUUCAUCCCUCAUUAUUUUAUUUCAUCCACUUUAUUUUUAUUUUAAAAUUCUAUAAUGUCUCAAGUAUCUCAAACAUCUAAUUAUAAAAAGACUCUAAUUUGUCAUUGUGAAAAUACAACUGUCUUGUGGACGUCAUGCACGGACUCAAAUUUAGGUCGCAAAUUUUAUAAUUGUGCAAUUGCAAAGGUGAGUUGUGUAUGUUAUUUUUAUAAAAUUAAGUAAAUUGUUAUGUAAUUAUUAUUUUUUUCCUAGGAUAAUGGGGCAUGAUCAUUUUUUAAAUGGCUUAAUGAGGUAUCACCUCCAAGCGGUUCAUCAACGUUGAGUCCGGAAUCCGAGACAUCAAAUUUUCAUAACUUGAAAAAAAUUUAAUCUACUACAAAGACUUCGAGAAUGCAAAGAAAAUAGAGAUUUUCUCCCGAUUUUGUUUUAAAAAAUAGAAGAGCUGAGGGAUCACUUGAAAGUAUUGCUACAUGACACCCAAAUAAAGAGGACUAAACCACAAUAAAAAUUGAUUUUGACCGAAGAAAUGGAGAAUGACCUAAAAAUGAUGUUAUGUGAUAUAAUGCUAUUAUCCGUUCUUUGAAAAAGUGUAACAUGGAUUUAGUGAUAUUGAAUAAAUAAAAAUACUUCUAUUUUUCAAUAAAGUUAAUACUAUUUUUCAUAGAAUCAUAGUUGAUCAAAUAACACAUCAACUUAAAAUCGAGUAGCAUGAUAAUGAUAGACUAUGGAAGCAAUAUACGAUAGAUUAAAUAUGCAUUCUAUGAAUUCAACUAUACACACUAUUAAUUAUGACAACACAAUGCAUAUUCAAAUUUCAUGCAAUAAUAUAGUUUGAUAAAAGCAGAUUUAGUGUAGAAUCAUAACAAAUUUUAUAAAAUAAAAGAAUGUUUGUCAUAUCCUACCAACAGAUCCUUCAACUUUCAUAUUUGUCAAAUAAAAAAAAUAUUUGUAAUAUCCUAACAACUGAUCAUUCAACACAUUAACAGUAUUGUCAUUCAAAUGUCUUUUUUCUCAUUUUCCUUAUCAACACAAAUGUUACUAUUGAUUUCAUCAACGAUAUUCAUGAUUACAAUUUUUUGAUCCGCUUCUUCUUUUCUUAGUUUUGUUCUCCUUUUUCUUUGUCUGCUGCUUCUUCUUUUCCAUUUUUGGCUUUAUUUCCUUUUUUCAACAUCUGCAUCUGCUGCUUCUUUCUCACCUUGUUCUCCUACUAUUUCAGUAUCUGCAAUAACUACUUCGUCUUUCUCAGCUUCUUUUUCUUCAACUGCAGUAGCUGCUUCUUUUUUCUCUUCACCUGCAUCAAUUGCUUCUUCCUCAACUUCUUUUUUUUAUCUGCUGCUUCUUUCUCAUCUUCUUUUUUGUCAUCAUCUUCUUCUUCUUCUUCAUCUACUGCUGCUUCUUUUUUAGCUUUUUUUUCUUCUUCUGCAGUUGCUUCUUUUUUAAUUUCUUCUUGUCUUUUAUCUUCUUUCAUUUAUUCUUCUUGUUGUUGUUCAUCUUUAUUUUCUUCUUUUUUUUCCUCUUUUGCCACAACAGUGGCCAAUUCAUCCAUUUUUCUUUUUUUUUCUCCUUCUUCAUUUAUCUCAGAUCUACGAAGGUACACCUGCACUGUACAUCAUAUUACAAAUUGUUACUAAUAUUUAAAGCUAAAAAUUCAUCAAAUACAUCAAUUAUUAAAUGAAGUUACCUCGCUCAUGUUUUCGUUCAUUCUUUUUUUCUUUAGUCUUUUCCCUUUGAUAUAGGAAAUAAUAUCCAACACUGCUUCCUCGAGCAUAGAAACAUGCUAAUGAAGAUCCUCAUCGACAGAGGUGCCUACUGUAUCUUUUGAGGGGCUCAGAGAGGCAUCAUCACCAAUUCAUACUCCAAUGGGGUUACCACCCAAAUCCCUAUCACCAUCACUAUCCUCAUUUGAAGUAAGGGAAAUAACCCCUUGUAAAUUUUUCUUUAAGUCAUCAAGGACGUUAUUCUUCACCUCGUCUGUAUAUGGCUUAAACGUAACCAUGUAAUUCUUCUUCGUCUCACGAAUAGUAGGGAUGAUGUACGGGUGUACAUUUUACAAAAAAUUAAUUAACAAUUACAUAACAUUCGAUACAACAAUAGUACUAUUGCAUAAUAAAAAAUAAGUUCAUACCUCGAUAACUUUUCCAUUAUGCUUGAAUGGGUCGCCUUCGAUUAUCUUGACACUUUUUAUAGUGUGCCAUCUGAGGAUACGGGGAAUGAGAAUGGGCUCAUUUAUUGAUUUUCCAGCAAUUUUUUUAAGAUUAGGAAAGGCCUCAUAGAUCCAAAUCUGUAAACAAUAUAGUAGUGAAAAAAUGACUCUGAGUCUAAGACAGAGUAUAAAUAAAAGAAGAAUCUAUGAUAAUCUCACUAAAGGGUUAAUGGUAGAUACUAUGAAUGCCCAGGAAAAUCCGAAUAGAGCAUAGAAUGCCUUCUGCUUCUCAUCAAAUACUUCCCUCUGCUUCUUUAGGUCACUUUUCUUCUUCAGAUAGUCCAUGAUCAGUUAAAAUGUCUCUUUUCCCCAUGGACAAUUCUCAAAGAAACUCAAAAAAUCAACCAUUCGAAUCAAUUUUGUGUCGAUAACCUUCGUCAAAUCUUUUGCAAGCAACUUGGUGUGCAAGAACCACAGUAAACAACACUUAAACUUUUGUUCCUCAUUCAUUUUAUUCCCUCUAAUCAAGUGUAACAAGUUAUCCACCGUAAUAUUUUUUUUUUUCAUCACCUUAAAGCAAAAAUGCUUCUCUUUCUUUAACACCUUUUUUAAUUUUGAUUCAUUGGGGGUAUGAUGAGCAUUUCAACCCCGUGAUCAAACAAAACUUCUUCAAACCAAAAAUUAUUCACGUAGAUCCACACCUAAUGACGCAUCUUACCGUUCUUGAUGCGUUGUAACAACAAAUAUGAACCAUCUGCCCAUUGAAUUUGAGAUGUUCCGAUAGGUUUUUCAGGUGUCCAAAAUAGGACCGCUUGAAUCUUUUAUUCAAGUCCUAGUCGAUAAGAACUUGCUUAAAUUCUUUAUAAAUAGCCAUUCUUGAUCUGACCGAUAUCUUUGAUGGGAAAGAUCCAACCUCGUGCAUAAUAGUUUGAAGCUCAUACCGCUACACAGAAAUGUACCUUGAACAAGAUGGCACGGACAAGAGAUCAUUAUCCCCAUCAACACUAUUUUUUUCACUUUUCUCACUCUCUUCACUUUCACCACUAGCACUACACUCGACAACAUCUUCACUAGAAUCGACGUAUCUAUUUAUCUCCUUUAACUCCGGAUCUGAUUCUGACUCUUCCUCUUUAAUUUUCUUCCUUUUUGAGACAUUUUUAAUUGCCUUAAUUUUUUUUUCUAUUGCUACUAGCAGAAUCAGAUGCGGUAACAACUUUGUAUUUAGCAAUGAGUUUAUUUUUAGCCAUUUUCAAUAUAAUCUACACCUACAGAACAAAUCUAUCAUUUUUAGUUCAUAGACCACAAGUCUACUAAUAGAAACAACUCAAUGCUUAAAUGAAAAAUUCAAAAAAACUAAGAAAUACCCCACUAUUAACAUUUCACUACACAAAAAUAUCAUAACUGAACCAAAAUCCAACAUGCAGUAUCAAAACUCAGUUAUUGCUAAAAAUAAAAAAAUUGUCACAAAUCAAACUAAUUAGCUAUUAAUCAUUCAAUUGUACUAUUUCAGCAAUCAUAUUUUAAAAGAAUUUCAUACGUCUAAAAAUUAAUUUCAAUCUAGGGCAUUCCCAUUUCAUAAAACAUAAGUCUACGGACAAAAAUAAGUUACUGUUUGAAUCAAAUUGCCAAAAUAACUCUUAAAAUAACAAUUAUCCCACCAUCAAUACUUCAUUGCUUGAAAAAACAAGAAAUAAACCAAAACUCCAUAACAAGAAUUUCAAAAUUCAACACCGUGAUAGACAAAAAAAUCUAUCAAAGCUGCCGAAUCAAACCUCAAUCAUUACUUCAAAAUCAAACUAAGUACCUAUAAAACUCUCAUAUUUUAACUACUUAAUCAAUCAUAUUCGAAAAAUUUUCCUACUCGUGUAAAUAUUUAUAGACCAUAAAUACAUAAAACUUAAAACUCAUAACAAAAUAAAGGGGAAGGGGGAAGGGGGAAGGGGGAAGGGGAGGGAAAAUAGUGUCCUAGAUCACCCAUCAAGGAAAUGAUCCUUGGUCUACCAAAAUGCCACAGGUCUUAGGUAUUCUGGUGAUUCUGGCUACAUGAUGUGGUUGAGCCAGGUGGAGGACUCCACCAUGGACACAGUUCUUGCUUUAGCAGAUGCUUCUUGGCUAAUCUAGGAUGGCAAAACAUGGGUGCCGCUAUAGCAACUUUAGAAAAAAAGGAGGAAGAAAUGUAUUUAGUGGGACUUCAUUCCUAGUCCUCAAUUUAAUAUAUAUUCAGUACUUAACUAAGUGAACCAUUUAAUCUUCUUGUAGAAUGGGUGUCAAAAUAUAAUAUUAUAAUAAUUUUAAAAAAUAUAUACAUCAAACAUCCAAUUUUUAUAGAGAAACCAAAUUUUUAUAGAAAAACGACAGUUUAACGUUCACUGAUGUCUACUGUUGAAUCCCCAUUGAUCCUUUCGUCAAACCAGAAUUGUACCUAUAUAAAUAAAUAUAUCUUCUGUCUAUCAGAUCUCACUGUUGUAUUCAACCUUUCUAUUAAAACUUAUAGCGAAAAUUUAUAAUUUAUUUUAAAAUCCCCAAUACAGGCUUAUAUAAAUAGAAAUUAAUGGUCAAUUAUCAGAAAGAAGCCUAAUAAGAUUGUCGUGUCAUUUCUUGCAGAACAUGUACUUAAAAACUGAAAAUCAGCCCUUAGAUAUUGUUCUUAAACAAAUAUCAUCAAAACAUUAAUUAUAUUCAUAUAAUAUAUUAUACUGAUACCUCGUACAAUUACAAUAUCUCACUUUAUUCCUAGUCAUAUAUUGGAAAACGAUUAGUAGAAAAAAUAGUAGAAGUUUCUAUCGGGGACUGGAAUGACAAUGGCGAUGUUUGCCUUGGUCUGUCAUUUGUUAGAAAAAUAAAUAUCGAAUGAACUUAGGAAUUAGAUCCGGAGACACAUAGAAAUUCAAGUAUAUAUAAUAUAUUAUUCAAAUUCUUGAUUUCAAUAAAGUGAAAAUGGUGUUUGAAAAUUUGAGUUUUGUUUGAUUAAGAGUAUAAAUUGGAGUUGUUUUUAAACUUUUGGGAGUGAUUUGAAGUGACAAACUUUUUGAUGUUUUCCAAAUUUCAAAAUUCAAUAGAUUGGAUUUCAGAAUUUUUAAAAAUCUUAUAGCCAAACAUGAUUUCUGAAAUUCAACCCUGAUAAAAAGUAUAGAAUAGAUCAUCAAACGAUCACUAGGUUUGUUCUAUAUUUAUCUCCAUGAGAAGUAGCUAGUCCGAUCUGUGUCCUCUGCACUUGAUGGUUAUCCUACAUCAUUGCUCAUUGAAGAUCUUUAAAUAACCAAAAAAGGUCUUAUUAGGACCGCGUGUAACUUCACCCAAACUCCACACUAGUAUGAUAUUGUCGGCUUUGGGCCAAGCCCUCACAGAUUUGUUUUUGGAAACCUCCCAAAAGGCCUCAUACUAAUGGAAUUGGGUAAAACUUUAAAUAUUGGACAUUCUUCCUCUAUUUCUUCGAUGUGGGAUUGCUUUGCUUCCCAUCAAUCCUCUCCUCAAACCAAGACCAUAUUACUUAUGACCUUCCCUUCAGCGACAAUCCAUUUGAUCUCGCUAACCAUCUUGUACCGAACUACCAACCAGUAGGACACGCCACUUGACCACCACUUGUCAAGAAGACUUUCGACACAAGGCAUCAACUGUAGAUCUCCAACUACUAGGUCACUUCAAAUGAUCUGCCAAACAUCUUGUACCGCUGUUAUUACUCAACAGGACAUGCUGCCUGACCUCCACUCGCCAGGAAGAAUUUCAACACAAGGCACCACCUGUAGAUCUCCAGUCUUGUUGUCACACUGAGAUAUUCUCACAGAACACAGUCCACUACUCCAACACACCCGAACCUGGGCUCUGAUACCACUUGUUAGGACCGCGUGUAACUUCACCCAAAUUUCUGCACUAGUAUGAUAUUAUACGCUGUGGAAAAAUUCCUCAAGGAUUUGUUUUUGGGCACCUCCCAAAAGGCCUCAUACUAAUGGAGUUGUGUGAGACUUUAAAUAUUGGACAUUCUUCCUCUAUUUCUCUGAUCUGGGAUUGCUUUGCUUCCCAAAAGGUUUCACGUUUGAGUAUAGAGAAUGAAAAUAUUUGUAAUAACGAGAUUAUACUCGUUUAAUGAGCUUUCUAUGACAUACUUUCAGAUUAGGCCAUGAAAGAAAUGAAGCAUAAACAAGUAAAUAAAACGGUGAUGAAACACUUGGAUUUUCAGAAUUGUAACAAAUGUUUCCGAUGAGUUUAUCUCUCGUAUCCUAAAGUUGUAAAAGAUUUUUAAAAUAUUAGUGUAGUUUAAAUUAUUGUAAUGGAUCACUUUAACAUCAAUUUAGACAGAUUUAUGAUAAAUUGCGAUCGACUAAGUUUAUUGCUUUUCUGUUCAAACUAGAUCAAGUAAAAUAAAAAUAUAUACAUACAACAAAUCAAGAUUAUUAUGAACUCACCGACUUUAAAUUUUGAAUUGGCGGACAUCAAAAUAUAAUACUUUUUAAAAAGGGAUAAAUAACAAAUCAUGCUAGAAAGAAAAACAACAGAUGAAUACAAUUAAUGGAGAUAACUUAGAUAUCACACAUUAAUAAGAUUUGUGUUACAACUCAGAUAAGUCUCCUCCAAACAGACAUCAAAUUAAACAACCAAACACAAAAGCCAUGAGAGUAGAGUAACAUCCCACACUGUUAAUUACAUGGCUAUAGUCUUAUUCAAUUAUUAUACAAAGCUUUUAUAAUACAAUAUUGCAUAGUUCAUAAAACACUUA